rnacentral:rRNA from 1 species
UACGUAGGGUGCAAGCGUUGUUCGGAAUUACUGGGCGUAAAGGGCGCGUAGGCGGCCCGCUAAGUCGAACGUGAAAUCCCCGGGCUCAACCCGGGAACUGCGUCCGAUACUGGUGGGCUUGAAUCCGGGAGAGGGAUGCGGAAUUCCAGGUGUAGCGGUGAAAUGCGUAGAUAUCUGGAGGAACACCGGUGGCGAAGGCGGCAUCCUGGACCGGCAUUGACGCUGAGGCGCGAAAGCCAGGGGAGCAAACGGG